rnacentral:rRNA from 1 species
UGGUGGAGUGAUUUGUCUGGUUAAUUCCGAUAACGAACGAGACUCCGUCCUGCUAACUAGUUGGGAGGUCACCCUUUGCCUCCCAAAUUCUUCUUAGAGGGACUGACAGCAUCUAGCUGUACGAGAUGGAGCAAUAACA